AGUCGUAACAAGGUUUCUGUAGGUGAACCUGCAGAAGGAUCAUUAGUGAAGAUUUGGGCAGGCCAUACGGACGCCAAAAAAGUGUCCCUGGCCGCCUACACCCACUAUACAUCCACAAACCCGUGUGCACUGUCUUGGAGAAAGGCUUCUUGAGAAGUUAUGUGACCUCUCUUGGGGUCUUUCUUCGCUACAAACUCGAAUGGUUAGUAUGAACGUGGAACUUGGUUGGACCGUCACUGGCCAACAAACUAUACACAACUUUCGACAACGGAUCUCUUGGUUCUCCCAUCGAUGAAGAACGCAGCGAAACGCGAUAGGUAAUGUGAAUUGCAGAAUUCCGUGAAUCAUCGAAUCUUUGAACGCACCUUGCGCUCUAUGGCAAUCCGUAGAGCAUGCCUGUUUGAGUGCCAUGAAAUCUCCCACCCCAAGCGGUUUUUGAAUGAAACGGCUUGGCGGAUGGGGUCUGGAUGGGUGCCUCUGCCUGUGCUAACCUUUUAGCCCACAGGCUCGCCCGAAAUGCAUGAGCGCCUUGGGACACUUUGCAUCCGCCUCUCUUGUGGGAGGAGGCGGCCAAGCAGUGUUUUUCUCCAGGCAUGGCAUGAUACGUCAUUUGCUAUGUCGCCCAAUGGAGGAAUGUUUGGUUGUGUCUGCGUGUGCUUCGAACUUGCCUCUGUGCAAAAAUCCCCUUUCACUUCUGGUCUCAAAUCAGGUAGGAUCACCCGCUGAACUUAAGCAUAUCAAUAAGCCGGAGGAAAAGUCG
rnacentral:rRNA from 1 species